UGAAAUAUUUCUGUAAAGUGAAGCUUCCUCUUCUCUUUGAUUACCUGUUGGCAUGGAAUGGCUAGAUGAUAAGCUUUUUGGCCGCUUGUGGGAUCUUAGUUCCCCAUCCAGGAAUUGAACCCCUGCGCCCUGCAUUGGAUUCGAGGAC